ensembl:snRNA U6 U6 spliceosomal RNA
GCUUGCUUCAGCAGUGUGUAUCCUAAAAUUGGAAUGACACAGAGAAGAUUAGCAUGCAAAGAGGACAAACUCACAAGGCAUCCCAUACUUUUUUUU